AUUCAGACUCUCUCCCUCUCUCUCUCUCUCUGAAAAAUCUCUCUGAAAACUCUCUCUCUCUGAAAAAGAAGAAAGAAACUAAAGAAGGAAAUAAGAAAAGAAAUGGGGAAUCCGAAAGGCGAGGUGCAGAGGAGGGUGUUGUUACUGUGCGGGGACUACAUGGAAGAUUACGAGGCAAUGGUCCCAUUUCAAGCACUGCAGGCAUUUGGAGUCUCUGUUGAUGCAGUUUCUCCUGUCAAGAAAGCUGGUGAUAUCUGCGCCACUGCCAUAACCAUUCAAGUAGAGUCCACUGACCAGGCUAAUAAAGAAUCUCGUGGUCACAAUUUCACACUGAAUGCAACAUUUGAUGACAUCGAAAUUGACAAAUAUGAUGGUCUAGUUAUACCAGGAGGACGAUCUCCUGAACAUCUUGCUAUGAAGGCAUCCGUUGUAGAAUUGGCGAGAAAAUUUUCUGACUGCAGAAAGCCAAUUGCUGCUAUUUGCCAUGGGCUGUUGGUCUUAGCACCUGCAGGCGCUGUUAAAGGUCGCAAAUGCACCGCGGUUUCAACUAUGAAACCUGGAUUGGUUGCUGCUGGUGCUCACUGGGUAGAACCCGAUACAUUGUCAGUGUGUGUUGCUGAUGAUAAUUUAAUUACUGGGGUCACAUAUUAUGGCAAUCCUGAGUUCAUUAGGCUUUUUCUCAGGCACUGGGAGGCAAAAUAUGUGCUUCAGAGAGAAGGGUCCUCAUCAUCAUUGGAAACUACGCGGAAGAUUAUGAGGUAACUGUGCCUUAUCAGACCCUCAAAGUUCUAGGAUGCCAUGUUGAUGUGGUUUGCCCCAAGAAGAAAGCCGGUGAUACCUGCCCAACUGCUAUCCGUGAUCUUGAAGGGGGCCAAACCUACAGUGAGAUCCGGGGACAUAAUUUUGUUUUAACAGCUGACUUUGAAUCCAUAGAUGCCUCAAGUUAUGACGCUCUUGUACUCCCUGGAGGUAAAGCUCCAGAGUUUUUGGCACUAAAGGAGGAUGUUAUUGUACUAGUGAAACAAUUUAUGGAAGCCGGGAAACCAGUUGCAUCCAUCUGCCAUGGCCUGGAAAUUUUAGUUGCUGCUGGUGUUCUGCAGGGGAAGAAAUGUACUGGAUACCCAGGGAUUAAGGCUCGUGUGGUUUCGUCAGGAGGGACGUUUGUGGAAGCGGAUCCAAUAGAUCGUUGUGUCACUGAUGGAAAUCUGGUUACCGCAGCAGCGUGGCAUGGCCAACCAGAGCUUAUUUCUCAGUUGAUGAGAUUGCUUGAUAUUCGAGUAUCAUUCUAGGCACCCUUUACCGGGUCUGCUGCUUCCAAGGAAUAUAUGGAAUUCCAUAAACGAAUAAGAGAAUAAAAGAAAAAGAAGCAUAGCCAGAAACUCCGUGUAAUUCAAUAAAAGAAUAAGAGCAUAUGUGAAGGUGUUGUGUGUAUCUGUGAGGGAACAAUGAUGCUCGGAUUCUGCUCUAUAUGUACCAAUUGUGGAUGGAUCUUGUAUGUUUGUAACUACGUAAUGUUGAUUAUGAUUUUUAUGGAAAUCAUUGAAUCUGCUUUCAGAUCUA